AACUCGGAGAUAGCUGGUUCUCCCCGAAAGCUAUUUAGGUAGCGCCUCGGACGAAUACUACUGGGGGUAGAGCACUGUUUGGGCUAGGGGGUCAUCCCGACUUACCAACCCCAUGCAAACUCCGAAUACCAGUAAGUACUAUCCGGGAGACACACGGCGGGUGCUAACGUCCGUCGUGAAGAGGGAAACAACCCAGACCGCCGGCUAAGGUCCCAAAGUUCUGGUUAAGUGGGAAACGAUGUGGGAAGGCUCAGACAGCUAGGAUGUUGGCUUAGAA
rnacentral:rRNA from 1 species